UACGGAGGGAGCAAGCGUUACUCGGAAUUAUUGGGCGUAAAGGGCGCGUAGGCGAUUUAACAAGUCUUGUGUGAAAGCCCCGGGCUUAACUCGGGAAGUGCACAAGAAACUGUUGAAUUUGAGUUCCGGAGAGGAAGGCAGAAUUCCCGGUGUAGCGGUGAAAUGCGUAGAUAUCGGGAGGAAUACCAGUGGCGAAGGCGGCCUUCUGGACGGAUACUGACGGCUGAGGCGCGAAAGCCAGGGGAGCAAAGCGGGAU
rnacentral:rRNA from 1 species